UUUAUUCUUCUUUAUUCUCCCAUUUCUCUUGAGAGCAAAACUAGGGUUUCCGAAGCGGCGACUCCAUUUUCUUCUCAUUUUCAACCUUUUAUCUUCUUUACCAACUCCAACGUUCACCUAGCUACAUCACGGUCAUCGCCACCAUCAUCUCCAGUAGCUGCUGAUAUUUGUUGAUAAUCAGAUGGAGUCUACAGGUCACUUCCUCCGCUGCUUGAAUGCUUUAGCUAGUCCUCGAGUUAUUCUCACAUUGGGCAAUUUGGUUGGUCUGAGGAAGUUGCUGAGUUUGGAUAUAUGGCAGCUUGUCACUUCUUCCGCUACUUGAAAACUAUCAACAGUUUUCAGUGUUACCUUUUCCUAUCUUGGUUGCUAUUCCAUCUUUCUACUAAAAGGAAUAAAUACGCAGCCCAAAAAUAUUAAAUGAAAGAAGCACCAAAAAA